AAGUUCAGACGAUUGCUCUUCUGAUCUAGAACAUAUGCCCUCCCUAAGACUUCAAGGAAGAAGCAACAGCCCCACUAUCAGCCCCCAAAGCUGAAAUUCUUUCUUAAACUAUUCCUUGCCAAUACCAGAAACCAAUCCCACAACUUUCAUAAUUCAUAUAUUGCAUAUACCCAUACUGUGCUUGUCCAGUAUGUCUUCAUUUUCCACAAAAAAAACAAGU